rnacentral:lncRNA from 1 species
CAGCCUUUGGAUGAAGAUGUAGAACUCUCAGCUCUGCCUGUGCCAUGCCUGCCUGGAUGCUGCUGUGCUCUCACCUUGAUGACAAUGGACUGAACCUCUGACUGAACCUGUCUUUAACUGACUGCGUGAGACCCACCCACAUUGGGAGGUAAUCUGCUGUACUCAUACUGUCUAUUCAAGUGUUAAGCACAUUCAGAAACAGUUUCAUGGGCACACCAAGGAUAAUGUUUAACCAAAUAUCUGGAUACCCGCCACUCCAUGGAGAUGAGACAUAACAUGGCUUACCACAGUGGGUGAUGGUUCCUCUCUUGAGGUUUGAGUGCUGUUUCCCCCAUGAUCCAACUCAAAGUCUUCACUGCAUUCUGCAAGGAGUGCAGUUCAUAAACAGUGUUGUGCGUCUCUCAAGUUGCACACCAGCAGGUCAAUUUGAAGAUUGACAUCUUCAUCAUAUUGAUCUUCUGGUCCAUGAAGACUGGCCUAUGUGUGACUUUGCCUACGGUUUCUUGACUCUGGCUGGCUGGCAUUUUAUACUCUCCAGUCUGUAGCUGCUGAAGUACCUGUAUUAAAUGUAAUCUUAGGUGUUGGCUUGAGACUACGUCCGUUCAGCCUUUAUUCCUGUUGAAUAGUUUGGUGCAUUGAUCCUAUCGGACGGCCAGUCCAUCUUUGGCUGCACAGGAGGGGAGAACAGAGUCCCAUACUGUGGUACAUUCCGCACUGCUGAGAUGCUCUGAUUAUUCCAUGCACAUUAUUGGACAUUUGAGUGACGUUGAGUCAUUUCAACCUAAUGAACUGAUUGGAAGCUGACUCGCCCCGAGACCUGCUCUCUUCCCAUGCGCCUGUUGGGUAACCACCAGAGAAGACUGCUCAGGCAUGAAUGGACACAAGAACCUGGAAGUCUCGGUACAUGCUGACUGGACCCUAGUGUUUGUCGUGUCAGUAAGACUUGAGGAAAACACUUUGAAGCUGUGUCAUUGAAAUGCACAUUGGCGAGAACAAGCGUCCUGCUGUUGGCAAGAGGAGAGAGCAGUCAACAGAACGCUGAAGAUUCCGAGGCUGGUUCCCAUGAUGCCAUCUGACCACUUGCACCCCAGUCCUCGCUAUCCCUCCAGGGCAUCUUAUCGCAGCCUUGAUGGAGUCUGCACCUUGGCUGCAAAGGGAACACAAACUUCCUCAAGCAACGCAGUGCUGCAGACACAAGAGCCGCUUUCGCUCCAGAUGGGAUCCAAGGCAACUGCUGUGUAGAAACUUCCCUUGGCUUCACUGGUCUUUUCUUUUCUUCUUAUUUUUCCCCCUCCCUCUGUUUCUGCCAAGUUGUUGAUGUCCUGGCUGUCUGGAAAAGACUGCAUUUGAGCAACCAGAGACAACCAGCCUCUUAAGAACGACUACAGCAAGGAAUCUCGUUCUUAGAAAAUUAGUUUGUGCUGCUGUGUUGAUCCUACUGAAAGAAGGGGUGAGGGGAAGACCCUCAAGGCUAAUUUAUAUAAACACACAG